GACGAACGCUGGCGGCGUGCCUAAUACAUGCAAGUAGGACGAAGUUGCGAACGUGUGAGUAACGCGUAGGUAACUAACUAUUCGAGGGGGAUAAAUAUUGGAAACGAUAGCUAAUACCGCAUACUAGUAGAUGGAACUGCGUUGUAUUAGCUAGUAGGUAUGGUAAUGGCCUACCAAGGCAACGAUACAUAGCCGACCUGAGAGGGUGAGCGGCCAAACGGGGACUGAGACACGGCCCAGACUCCUACGGGAGGCAGCAGUGGGGAAUCUGCGGCAAUGGGGGGAAGCCUGACCGAGCAACGCCGCGUGAGUGAAGAAGGUUUUCGGAUCGUAAAGCUCUGUUGUUAAGUACGCGGUACUUAACCAGAAAGGGACGGCUAACUACGUGCCAGCAGCCGCGGUAAUUC
rnacentral:rRNA from 1 species